UGUGGCAGGGCUGCGGGUGAGAAUGAGCAGGCUGGACGAGCAGGGUAUGGAGAAGGAAUAUUUGCGAUCCCAAAUAAAAGUAUGCCAAGAAUGUGUAGAAGAUGAAAUUCAUCCUGCUUCACUCUCAAAGGAUGGUGUAUGAGGAGUGAUCUAUGGAGUUACUGUGUGAAUGUGAUACUCUGCUCAGGAGAGGAGGGGGUUUCGCGAAAGGCGGAGAUGUCAUUGCGUUCACACCCAAAGAAGCGCUGGAGAGGCGUAAUGGUAUCAUUAGGAGAACAGCGCGAGAGAGAACGACUCUAUUAUUAAAAUCUCUUUUUGCCCAAA